AAAUAGAUCCAAUCCUCAUUUCCUCCAAAAUACAAUUACAAAGGGAUUAUGAGAAUCCAAACAAAGUCUUUAGUAGAAGAUUACAUACUUGUCCCAUGAAACCUCCUCCCCCAAUGUCAUAAAACCAUCUCCUAAUAGAGAUGGCCACUUCUAUGAAGGAAACCAAAACAAACUUCUAUCCACAUAUAGAGAGAGAGAGAGAGAUAGACUUUACGCCUCCCACUCUCUCUCCUCUUCCCUUUUAUUCCUCUUAAUUUACAUAUACAUCUUUUGAGUUUACACAAAAAGACUCACCAUAAAUUAAACAUAUUAAGAUCAACUCACUUGACUUGUAUAUACAAAAAUUACACUCUCCAUCUCAAAGACCCCCCAAAAAACAUUAAUCUUCUUCCUCCUCCUCUUGAUAUUUUUCCCAAAGCACAAAGCCCUCUACUUUUCUCACAAAACUCUGCUUCUUCCAAAACAGAG
rnacentral:lncRNA from 1 species